GAUGAACGCUGGCGGCGUGCUUAACACAUGCAAGUCGAACGGAAAGGCUCCUGCUUGCAGGGGUACUCGAGUGGCGAACGGGUGAGUAACACGUGGGUGAUCUGCCCUGCACUUCGGGAUAAGCCUGGGAAACUGGGUCUAAUACCGGAUAGGACGAUGGUUUGGAUGCCAUUGUGGAAAGUUUUUCGGUGUGGGAUGAGCUCGCGGCCUAUCAGCUUGUUGGUGGGGUAAUGGCCUACCAAGGCGUCGACGGGUAGCCGGCCUGAGAGGGUGUACGGCCACAUUGGGACUGAGAUACGGCCCAGACUCCUACGGGAGGCAGCAGUGGGGAAUAUUGCACAAUGGGCGCAAGCCUGAUGCAGCGACGCCGCGUGGGGGAUGACGGCCUUCGGGUUGUAAACUCCUUUCGCUAGGGACGAAGCGCAAGGGACGGUACCUGGAGAAGAAGCACCGGCUAACUACGG
rnacentral:rRNA from 1 species